CUGGAGUAUAUUUUCGAGAAUCCAAAGAAUGGUAACAUUGUCGGGAUUUUGACCGGGAUCCUUGGUGCAGCAAUCAUCAUGAGAUCCAGGGAAAAGGUUUAUACUCUACUUAUGGGAAAGCCAAGCCCAACAUAACUAGCCAACUUCCCCGAGUUGGAUGUUUUUUUGCUGCCCAAACUGCACUUUAGGAUAGCAAAGGUGUUUUAUCUCCAGUAAUUGCACCUUUUUAACCCGGUCUGGCUUUCAAUAGGGAGAGGUAAAUUCUGUAAAAUGGGAUGUGGGAUGCAUCUGGUUCUUUGUUGGCUUCAUUCUGAGCCUUUUUUUUUCUGUUCCUAAUUUUUUUUAGCAAC